GAUGAACGCUGGUGGCGUGCCUAAUACAUGCAAGUCGAGCGAACGGACGAGAAGCUUGCUUCUCUGAUGUUAGCGGCGGACGGGUGAGUAACACGUGGAUAACCUACCUAUAAGACUGGGAUAACUUCGGGAAACCGGAGCUAGUACCGGAUAAUAUUUUGAACCGCAUGGUUCAAAAGUGAAAGACGGUCUUGCUGUCACUUAUAGAUGGAUCCGCGCUGCAUUAGCUAGUUGGUAAGGUAACGGCUUACCAAGGCAACGAUGCAUAGCCGACCUGAGAGGGUGAUCGGCCACACUGGAACUGAGACACGGUCCAGACUCCUACGGGAGGCAGCAGUAGGGAAUCUUCCGCAAUGGGCGAAAGCCUGACGGAGCAACGCCGCGUGAGUGAUGAAGGUCUUCGGAUCGUAAAACUCUGUUAUUAGGGAAGAACAUAUGUGUAAGUAACUGUGCACAUCUUGACGGUACCUAAUCAGAAAGCCACGGCUAACUACGUG
rnacentral:rRNA from 1 species